rnacentral:misc_RNA from 1 species
AACUCUCAACAGCGCCACUAGCUCCCGCGUAUGAACUCCACGCAGAUAAACAGCCAGACGGGGUGCAGAGGUGCAAUCACGAGAAGCGGAGGUUUCAAAUGCUGGUAUUAAAUACUUGUCAAGAAUGUCCCUGACUACGUCUGAGACCAGGACGCUGCAGUACCUACUGCAGGUGUCCAAACCUGCCCACAAUCCACUGGUGACUGUAGCUGGGCUCACGGCCAUCUUUGAGUUUGUCAAGUCCACAUAUGACUGGAAGGUUGUGCAGUACCUGUUGGAGGAGGGCCUGGCCGAUGUACUGGUCAGCUGUCUGGACACCUGGACGCCGGGGGGCAAGAACCAGGACAUACAUGGUGUUCUCGUGAUGCUCGCGUUGAAAGUCACCCACCACCUUGCAUCCAUGUCUCCACUUGUUCUGCGCCCGCUGAUGACAGUCAGAUUUUACACAUCCCUACUUCAAUUGACAGACACCAAAGGAGACUUUUUCAGAUUCUCUUGUGAGUUUCAGGAAAUGUUUUCCCUCUUAACACGGGGAAAACAGCUGAUAGCAAAUGUUGUCAUGGAAACAGUUGGCGGAGAUGUUAAACAACAUCUUGGAAACAUCCUGAAAUAUCCCAUAGACCUGCCUGGACGUAUCUACAGGUGCAGCUGCUUCGACACCAGUGGUGAGACGGACGUCAACAUCACACAGCAGCUGAUGAGCAAAGGUCUGGCCUGGCCCACCUUAAAUAUCCAGGGAGGAGAACUGAAGGACUGGAAGGACGUGAUUGUCACCGAGCAUCUCAGGGAUCAGUACUUCUAUGCUCUUCUUGGUGAGGCGGCAAUUAGGCAGGCAGCUGCCAUUAAGUCCCUCAUAGAAAAUGUGAAGGGUGAUCUACAUGUGGCAGCCAUCGAGGUUGGAAAGAUUGUGCUCAUGGUUGUUGUUCGAGAUGGGCAGCUGGAACAUGUCCGAGGUCAGGUUGUCAGCUAUGUUGGAGAAUGGGUGAAGGCGACGAUGUUGGAGUACGGAGGGGUGAGGGAAGUUCGGCUGAAGAAUGUUUUUGAGUUGCCAUCUGCUCUCAGCCUCAUGUACUUCCCUGCCCAGACUUCCCUGUGCUACUUGGCAGGUGUGCAAGCCCCGCCCAGUGAUGUAUACACUCUGCAGCUGGCCUUAGCAUCCAUGUGUAACCUCAUCCGCUACUGUGUCGCAUCAGGGUUGACUUUGUUGAAGACUGGUUGUUUGACAUACUUGCUGCCAGUCCUGCGCUGCCCAGACUCCAGCCUGGUGCUACAGACUCUCCGCAUCCUCAACAACCUCGCCACCAACCCCCACACCGACAAGACUGUAUUUGAACCAGUUCUCCAUGACCUACUUGAGCUGUUGAGGAGUGUGCCUGACAAGGGUUGGAGCGUCAACGUGAGGGAGGACACCAGCUACACCUGCAUGUCCUGCAUCGCCAACAUCCUCACUUUCUCCAGACACUACCGCUCGGUCUUCUACCAGAACGAGGGAUUGUCAACUGUACUACGAAUCAUGGUGUGCUACAAACCAUUCAGACCCGUUUACAAGAUGGGCACUCAGCUUUUGCGCAACUUCCUGUAUGUGACAGAGGUGAAGGCCACACAGCGAGGAACCCCAGAUGGUGUUGAGGCCCCAAAGGCUGACACGGUGACUGCAGGAAGCACUAGUUUGGACCAGACAAACAGUCCUCAGCGGCCGGUCACCUUCCAGGCAGAGGACAUCAGCUCUAGUGAGGAGGACGAGGGGGAUACAAAUGGAGGACGUCGUGCGUCCCCCACAACAGGUGCAGCAUUUGUAGAUGGUGAUGUUGUGGCCAUCAACUCAGGGGAGAUGCAGGACACUCCAGACCAGCAGUACAUCUAUGGUUCUCGGGUGGAUUUCUGUAAUGAUGUGACACAUGAAAUCCGACCCCCUAAAGAGUUGUCCCAAGUCUCCGCCCUGGCCAUCGCGGAUGUCGCCUGUGGGAUGCUGAACAGUCGUGGUGGCUCUAUCUACUUCGGUGUGUCUGAGGACCAGAUUGUCCAGGGCAUCAAGAUUAAGCGUGAAGUCCGAGACUCCUUCCGUCUGGGUAUUGAUGACAUGAUGAUUAAGCAGAUCUCACCGCCUGUGUUGUACAUCCAGUUUGAGCUGAUUUACACGCCUGUCUUCAAGGCCACGUACAGACCCCCACCACAUGACUACAUCCAGGUGACAGAUCUGUACAUUGUAGAGCUCCGAAUUCGACCAAGUCGAGGUACUCUCCACUCAACCAAGGACUGUCUCUACAGGUUCGGUGCCAGAACACUUCCUCUCACUAUCAAGGAGGUGAGAGAGCUAGUUGUGGUAGCCGAAGAAGAUGUAUACAAAGAGGAAAUAUUCAGUCUGAGACAGAAACUGAAGAACCUGAGAGACCGGAGGCUCACAUCCUGAAUAUACAAGUUUUAUAUUUGUGGACUGAUCUACCCAGAGUACCUACCCCAUGGAUAAAGUUGUGUCCCAGUGGGGAUACAGGUGAAUAUGUGACCUCAUGUGUGUGUCCCAGUGGGAAUAUAGGUGAAGAUGUGACCUCAUGUGUGUGUCCCAGUGAUGAUACAGAUGAAGAUGUGACCUUAUGUUUCCGUCCCAGUGGGGAUACAGGUGAAGAUGUGACCCUGUGUUUGUGUCCCAGUGGGGAUGAAGGUGAAGAUAAGACCUCUUGUGUGUGUCCCAGUGGGGAUAGAGUUGGGGAUGUGACCUCAUGUGUGUGUCCCAGUGGGGAUAUAGGUGAAGAUAAGACCUCAUGUGUGUGUCCAAGUGGGGAUAGAGUUGGGGAUGUGACCUCAUGUGUGUGUCCCAGUGGGGAUAUAGGUUAAGAUAUGACCUCAUGUUUCCAUCCCAUUCAGGGUAGCGGGGAUAAUGUGACAUCUUGCUUGUCUCCCAGCUUAAUAUGAGUUGACCACCUGAUGCCUGGGAGGAAUCCCCUGGAAGUACAGGUAAAAUAAGAGGCACUGUCCUCACCUGGAGUAGGCCCCUGGAAGUACAGGUCAAAUAAGAGGCACUGUCCUCACCUGGAGGCUCCUAGAAGUACAGGUCAAAUAAGAGGCACUGUCCUCACCUGGGGCAAACCCCUGGACGUACAGGUCAAAUAAGAGGCACUGUCUUCACCUGGAGUAGGCCCCUGGAAGUACAGGUCAAAUAAGAGGCACUGUCUUCACCUGGAGUAGGCCCCUGGAAGUACAGGUCAAAUAAGAGGCACUGUCCUCACCUGGAGGCCCCCAGAAGUGCAGGUCAAAUAAGAGGCACUGUCCUCACAUGGAGGCCCCCAGAAGUACAGGUAAAAUAAGAGGCACUGUCUUCACCUGGAGGCCCCUGGAAGUACAGGUAAAAUAAGAGGCACUGUCCUCACCUGGAGGCCCCCAGAAGUACAGGUAAAAUAAGAGGCACUGUCCUCACCUGGAGUCCCCUGGAAGUACAGGUCAAAUAAGAGGAACUGUCUUCACCUGGAGUAGGCCCCUGGAAGUACAGGUCAAAUAAGAGGCACUGUCUUCACCCGGAGUAGGCCCCUGGAAGUACAGGUCAAAUAAGAGGCACUGUCCUCACCUGGAGUAGGCCCCUGGAAGUACAGGUCAAACAAGAGGCACUGUCCUCACCUGGAGGCUCCUAGAAGUACAGGUCAAAUAAGAGGCACUGUCCUCACAUGGAGGCCCCCGGAAGUGCAGGUCAAAUAAGAGGCACUGUCCUCGCCUGGAGGAGGUGACACUCGGAUGCCAAGGUCAUUUUGUUGGUGAAGAUGAAUAAAGUUUAUUUCUGAUA